rnacentral:rRNA from 1 species
ACGGGGUACUUCGGUACCUAGUGGCGGACGGGUGAGUAACGCGUGAGAAUCUGGCCUCAGGUCCGGGACAACCACUGGAAACGGUGGCUAAUACCGGAUGUGCCGAAGGGUGAAAGAUUAAUUGCCUGAGGAUGAGCUCGCGUCUGAUUAGCUAGUUGGUGGGGUAAGAGCCUACCAAGGCUGCGAUCAGUAACUGGUCUGAGAGGAUGACCAGUCACACUGGGACUGAGACACGGCCCAGACUCCUACGGGAGGCAGCAGUGGGGAAUUUUCCGCAAUGGGCGAAAGCCUGACGGAGCAAUACCGCGUGAGGGAGGAAGGCUCUUGGGUUGUAAACCUCUUUUCUCAGGGAAGAAUACUGACGGUACCUGAGGAAUCAGCAUCGGCUAACUCCGUGCCAGCAGCCGCGGUAAUACGGAGGAUGCAAGCGUUAUCCGGAAUUAUUGGGCGUAAAGCGUCUGUAGGUGGACAUUCAAGUCUGCUGUCAAAGACCGGGGCUUAACCCUGGAAAGGCAGUGGAAACUGAAAGUCUAGAGUGCGGUAGGGGCAGAGGGAAUACCCAGUGUAGCGGUGAAAUGCGUAGAGAUUGGGAAGAACACCGGUGGCGAAAGCGCUCUGCUAGGCCAAAACUGACACUAAGGGACGA